UGAGGAAUAUUGGGCAAUGCCCGCAAGGGUGACCCAGCAACGCCGCGUGGAGGAUGAAUGUCGUAAGAUUGUAAACUCCUGUUAGAGGGGAAGAAUAGUACCGGUUGGACCGGUAUAUGACUGUACCCUCAGAGAAAGCCCCGGCUAACUACGUGCCAGCAGCCGCGGUAAUACGUAGGGGGCAAGCGUUGUCCGGAUUUACUGGGUGUAAAGGGCGCGCAGGCGGGAUAAAAAGUCAGUGGUGAAAUCCUACAGCUUAACUGUAGAACUGCCUUUGAUACUUUUAUUCUUGAGUUCGGGAGAGAGAGACGGAAUUCCAGGUGUAGUUGUGAAAUACGUAGAUAUCUGGAAGAACACCUGUUGCGAAGGCGGUCUCUUGGUCCGACACUGACGCUGAGGCGCGAAAGCGUGG
rnacentral:rRNA from 1 species